GAGGUUGUGGCUCAGUAGUUGAGUGCUCGCCUAGCACAUGUGAGGCACUGGGUUCGAUCCCCAGCACCACA
rnacentral:tRNA from 1 species